CGCGUGUGUUCUGGAAUGAAUUUGCACAUCUUCACCCCAAGGAGCUUUGCUGCCUCUUCCUCCAUGACGGCACCUGAGAGAACAAGCAGAGGCGCCUGGAGCCGCAGUACCGGCCGCCGGGGCGGCUGCCCAGCCAGGACUGCUCUCUUCCGAGACCCUCCACAUUCUGCCUGUGGAACUGUAGCUGCCAGUUUUGCUGUGCUGUGGCCCACACGUGAAUUCUCUCCGAUGCGAAGCCACGGACCCUCACUCGGCAGCCUGGACAGGACCAGCCCCCCAGCACCCCCAUUUCCUGCAACAGUCUGACUUAUGUGUGUGCAAAGCUUUGAUGAAAACCAAAUGAGCAAAAAAGAAAACCUGUAUUAAAACUUCAGAAAGGA